GAGGAUGUAGCUCAGAGGCAGAUCACCUGCUUUGCAUGUGGGAGGUCCCGGGUUCAGUCCCCAGCAUCUCCA
rnacentral:tRNA from 1 species